rnacentral:tRNA from 1 species
AAGGAAGUGGCAGAUUGGUUGUGUAGUUGACUUGAAAUCAAAGUAAGGGGGUUCGAUUCCCUCUUUCCUUG